AGCUUUGCACAGUGGCAGUAUCGUAGCCGAUGAGGUUUACCUGAGGCACGAUUAUUGCUUAUUGAAAUUAGAUU